rnacentral:rRNA from 1 species
UACGUAGGUGGCAAGCGUUGUUCGGAUUUACUGGGCGUAAAGCGCACGUAGGCGGAUCUUUAAGUCAGAGGUGAAAUCCCAAGGCUCAACCUUGGAACUGCCUUUGAUACUGGGGAUCUUGAGUCCGGGAGAGGUGAGUGGAACUGCGAGUGUAGAGGUGAAAUUCGUAGAUAUUCGCAAGAACACCAGUGGCGAAGGCGGCUCACUGGCCCGGUACUGACGCUGAGGUGCGAAAGCGUGGGGAGCAAACAGG